AACUUUUUUUUUUUUCUGAUUCCAGUACAGUUCUUUGCUUCAGUUCAGAACUCCCAAGAUGCGUGCACUACCCUAGUGUGAAGCCUAGGGAAGUUCGGGUGCGAAGCCUAAAACCUCAUUUUACUUUUUACAUGUUACUGUUCACAAAGACUAGUUUGAAUACUAACAGCCCACAGAUCUUUUCUUGUUUAAUUUCACCUCUCAAUCCCACCCUUUUACAAACCUUAAAUCCAGCCCUAAUAUUUCUACUCAAUCCAGCUUUUGAAUGACCUAAAAUCCAGCCCCAAUAUUCAGUUCUGCAAGCUGGUGUACCUCAUUUAUAGAUUCCAACAGGAUUAAGUAUAAAAGGAGUGUGUAUGCCAAUAUUAUACAAGUAUAACAUAUAUAAGAACAACAGUAUAAGAUGCAGGUUAGACAAGGA
rnacentral:misc_RNA from 1 species